CUUUUCUUCUUUUUCUUUUUUAGCUCGUGAGCUGUGACACUUUUUAUGAAGGCCCUUGUAAUGUAACAGGGAAGAAGAACCGAAAAUUCCCGAGGUGCAUUUUAUGCGGUGCGAAAUAUUAUCUCCUCCAGGUUCAUCUCUUGAAAGCUGCCCUUUGCUGCACUCUGGUUUGAUGGAUAAUGACAAACAUGAACAAAUCUGCUGUGUGUAAGGAGGAGAGGAGGAUCCUGCCAAGGAGACAUCUCCAGAGACCUUUUAUUUUUACCCAAACCUCUUUCUUUUUAAAGUUUUUAGCACUUUGAACUGAAAUUUCAGUACAGCAGCAGAUGUUACUUAUCAAAUCCCUUCUAAAUAUUCUCUGUUCUACAGCAAACUGUAUUUUGAGAUGACAAAUAUGACCUUACAAGGAGCUGGGCAGCUAACUGAGGACCCACUGCCUUGCUGGGGUGAGCCUGGCCUUUAAAGCCCCAUGGUAAGCAAGGCAGCACCUGCUCCUGUUCCUAGAUGCGUCCUGUUCCUGAUGUCCCCAUCCCCCAGCUGGAAGCAGGGAAACUCAGCCAGGUCCCAAGGCCACAGCUCAGGCUCCAUCCCCCAGUGCAGAGCCCCCCACUGCUCAGCCCGGCAGCAGGACGGUCACUGUGGCUGUUGGCACUGCGAGUGCAUUCCAAAACCAACUUCUAAUACACCAGGUGCUUCCAUGAACGCAAAACUCCUGCUGCAGGGAGCGGUUGAACUGGGAUGAGUUAGUCCAGCAUGGGUUGCGUGGAUGAAGCUCUCGCUGAAGGCUCACGCUUGGCACAUUUUGGGGGCUGAAAUCUGGAGGCUGAAAUCCAGCUCAGGUUGCCAAGGCCCCAUCCAACCUGGCCUGCCUUGGCUGUGGUCAUCAGGAGACCCACAGCCACCAGCAUCCCCGGCAACCUCACACAUCUCAUCCAGGUAUGGAGCAAUCCAGCAGUCUUCAGUCACCAGCUACCUCCGGGGCCACUGUCCCUGUGGGCCCUUUGGUCACUGUGGAUGUGGAGCUGCCACGGGACCCCAGAAUCAACUGCUGCAUCCCCAUGGUGAGGGGUGUCCUGGUGGGACCUCACCCUGUGCAUCUCCUGGGUAUGACCACGUGCUGUAAGGCUGCGUGUGCCGCCUGCCCCGGCCCCACUGCGGGGACAUCGCCUGCUCUUUCCCUUUCGCUUUCCCUUUCCCU
rnacentral:lncRNA from 7 species